rnacentral:lncRNA from 1 species
GUAAAAUGUAUGUAUGUAUCAUUAUUUUUCAAUUACAUUAUAAAGUUGUACUGUUUUGGGUUUUUUCUCUCAUUGCUUGAACGACUCAAAUGUAUGUACGCACACAUUUUGUUAUCGGGUACAUUUGGUGUGGGGUAGAAUUUCCUGACGUCAUCCAUAACACGCUUCACUGAAUAAGAAUUGACUGCUGCUGAUUUCAACUCAGGUUGUUUCUUUACAUUGGUGAAUAAAAUAUGUAUUCAAGUAGAAAGAAACCACCAAAGAUGAAAUUUCCCGGUUUUGUCCGUACACUAGUUCUGGCAUAUGUCUGUCUAAGAUAUAAACUCAAAAUCAUGCUUUAAUUAUUUGUCAUAAUUUUUUUUGGGGGGGAAUGUAUAUAUAUAUACAAGAAGAAUAUUAAUAUGGAUAACCCAUUCAAUGUAUAUCAUACGUGCAUGUAAAACUAAACUGAUAUCAACACCUUCUUUUGGUGUACAAAUGUAAUGCAUGUCGAUGUUUUGUAAUGUUUUUCUCGGUUGUUUUUUUUUUUUUUUUUUCUUUCAAAGAUACAAAUAAAACAAACGAUUCCUUUAAAUGUAAGGCUAUACAAGAAUACUCCCCCUCCACAAACACAUAGACAAAAGUUGAUUUACCGAACAGGAAUUAAAAUGCAAUAAUAGAAAUGAAAUAUGUCAUAGUAAUUAAACCUAUGUUUCUUCAAUUUGAAUUUACGCUAUAACUUUUGUUGUUGUUUUUUUUUUUUGUUAGGUUUUUGUUUGUUUUUGUUUCGUCUGUUUGUCUUUGUUUAUUGUUUGUUGUUUGUCGUUUGUUUGUUUUGAUAUUUGUUUGUUUUGUGUUAGUUUUUGUUAGGUGUGGGUUUUUUUUUUGGGGGGGGUAGGUAUUUUUUUUGGGGGGGGUAGGUUAAAGAAACGUUCGCCAAAUUUACCCAUUUACACAUUAAUUCAACCACCAGGCUUAAAAUUAUCGCAACCAUUUUUUAUUAGUUUUAAUUAUUAUUUUUUUUUAUUCAGAUUUAUGUCAGUAGAUGAAAAUUUGAAAGUAAUAAUUUUUAUUUAAAAUUGUUGAUUUGGUUACAAGGUCAAUUCAAUAUAUAAAUUUAUGCAUUCCAAUUUAUGUAAUUUUUAUUCUUGUUUCGAAACGAUUAACCUGUAAUAACAAAUAUCUUUACAACAUGCAAAGUGAAAAUUUACAAAACUUUUCACUGCAUCUGCAUAUAUCGUUUUCUUUAUUCAAAAUAUCAAUGUUUACUUUUUACACGACCGCAGUGAAUUUAUAUAUUUUUGUUGUCACUAAAAAUUUUAGUGCUCGUUUAUAUUAUUUUUUUAUUAUACAAUUAACUUAAACUUUUAUAUUUGUAAAAUUAAAGAACUAUCUGACAAAAUCCUGAGAAGCAUUAUUUAUUAUAUUAGAAUUUUAUAACAUUUCUUUCUUUUGAAAUAUAGUUAUAAUUCUUUUUUUCAAUGGAAAAAGAAGAAGAAAAUAUGCUUAUAGACGGUUAUAAACUCAAUUCAUAAUUCAAACUUUUCAAGGAUCUAAAAUAUUUUUUAAAUUAUUAAGUUAUUUUAUUUCAGAGCGGUAUUUCCAUUAUCUGUCGACAAUUAUAAAAUAUUUUAAAAGUUUUCAGGGUUUAUUCAAUUAUGUUAAUAUUCUUGUUUUCCUUAAAUUAGAAAGUGAAAUAGAUUUUUUUUCUCUAAAAUAAUACAAAUUUUAUAAAGUUGUAAACAUUAAAAUCAUCGUGAUAAAUAUUUAUUAUUUUUAUUAUAUCUGUCAUACAUAUUUUGUCCAACAAAAAUUAUUUUGUGGUAUGAUUAACUGUUGGGUCCUGAUUGAUACUUUCUAUAAUUGAGAUGUAAGAUUUCAUCAAACAUGAUCUUUCCAUCAUAAAAGACGAACGUUUCUAAUCAGCUAAAUAGAUGCCAGGAACUGAUGAAAAUCGCUUAUUAUGAAUUCCAUACAUCUAUCUAUCACUGAGGUUUUAUUGUGACGAUAAAACCACCAAGAUUAUCUCGCCUAUGGCCUUUGUGUCCACCGUUAUUUGGAAAAUUAUACUAUUCAAAUCCCGGAUAAUAUUCAGCAUUGGAUAGGGUAAAUGACGCUCUUUAACAAAGAAGGCGAAAUCUGAUCGUGUCAUAUAUUUGAUCUGGACAAGAUUUCAUCAAAUGUCCUUAUUACUGAUCAUUGCUUCUUAACCAUAAGUCAUUAGGUGGGGAAAUUUCACAAAACGAUACAUUUUAAUAAAAUGCAUCAUGGUGUUGACAUAGGGUUGAUUGGUAAAGCACAAUCAUUCUUUGGAUACAAAAAAAUCUGAAAACAUUGCCAAAAGGCAAAUAGUGUCUCUGAUUAACUUUGUUGGUUGACCCUGGUAUCCUUUGAUUCUUAAUGUGGUCUUAUAAAAUGAAUCUUUUAUCAGAAAUUGAACCGGGGGAUAAACUAAUGAAGUUAUGUUAUAUGGUGUAAUUACCCAUAAAUUAAACAAUUAUUUCUCAAUUUUUGUCUGUUAUUUUUGUCACCACACAAAGAUAUAUUGUACAAUUGAUAUGAAUUAAUAUUGACAAGAGCAUUUUCUUCUUAUAGAUGAAUUUCUUCGUGAUUUCUCUCAUUUUGUGAUUUUCUUUGAUACAAGAAAAGCAUAAAACAAAAUAUCUAGCAACCUUACUAUAGAUAAGCUGUAAAUUUAUGUACAUUUUUGGUUGUCAUUAGUCGUUUACACAAGUUUAUAUCUUAUCUGAUUCAUUCUUUUAAGUUGCAAUUUUCCAUACGAGAUUGGUAAUCAAGAUUUAACAACUAAUGUAUAAACAAAAAAAAAUUGUUUGUUUCAUCAGCUGCCACUAUAUGUAAUGCUAAUUUGAAAGAAAAAAAUUGUUCGAUUGUCGCGAAAAAAAAUAGAUUGUUUUUCGCCGCAGGCGAAAAAAAAAAUUUUCCAGAAAAAAAAACCAUAGCCCCCCCCAGAAAAGCAAAUGGUUGCUAACACAUUUAGCGUUCUCGUUUAUAAAUGUUGGGCCUUUUUUCAUUCUACAAUAACUCUUGUUCUUGCGCGCCACAUCUUAAUACUAGAGUAAAGUUUUCAAUAGAUAAACAUAUUUUGUAGUAAUCUUCAACGGCAUUAUUUCUAAACCAAUAUAAUCAAAAUUACAGAUUAGUACAAAUUAAGUGUUUUCCAACAAGAUAAUAUAUUAAUACCCUAAAACAUGCUUUACGCGGUAGGGAUUGAUUUUAGAAAAUAAUUAUAAUUAUCACAUUUAGAGGCGCUAAAUCAGCCGCUAGACUAGGUAUUAUCACAAAGGUUCACAAAUUAUUGAACUCUAAUUAUAGAAAUAGAGAAUUAACAUCUUUUACCCGUAGAGGCAUUAAUUAAGAUAGAUGUUGGGGACUUUAGCUGUCAACAUUGUCACACAAAUUGAAUUGUAUUUCGACUUAAUUUUCUUGUAUUCAUUACCUGUAAUCAGCAUCAUGCGAUUGAUACAGACAUUGAUCAAUGCCAAUCUUGGAGGUGUAUAACGUUAUUAUCUGUUGUACAUAUUUCGGUAAUUUCCGCUAAUUAUGUUUUGUAAAUAUUUUUCAUUUUGUUAAAAGUGUCAUCAUUGAUAGUUUAAAAUGUUCAAAGUUUUUUUAUCGAAGCAUGUAUUUGAAAUCCUUAACUAUAACAAUAUUUUUUUUACCUUAAUACAUCCUUUUAAAAGCCUACUACUCAAGUUAUAAUAUAGGGGGUGUACAUAUUAAUAUCUUUUUUUUUUUAAACAAAUGAUAUUUUUAUAUUUACGAUUUCGAAAUUUCCUCCUUUACUACGAAUUCAGAGAGGUAAAAAUAUUAUAAUAAUUGAAGGUUUAAAUUCAGAAUUUUAUCUUUAUGUAUAAAUAUUUUCUAACAUUUAUGUGAAAAUAUUAAUAUAUUCAAAAAAUAGAAAAUGUAUUUCAAAUGCAAAUUUGUUUGAAAAAGUACGCGAAAUGCAACUAGGCCUUGGAAGUUUUAUUUGAAGAGAGCAUGACUAUGAUAAUUCUUUAGAACGUUUACAAUUAAAUUGACAUGAUAACUGUACAUCUUCAUACGAAGAAAAUUUAUGACCAUUGCAUUUAUUUUUUUUAUCUUUAUUAAAAUAAUUUAUUAUUCUACGUCAAUUACUAAACAUUUAUCCGGAAAAAAAACCAGUUCAAGGAUAACAAACUUAUGCGUAGAUGAAAAUUUUAAGAAAGUACUUAACACAAAGUGUAGUGUUGAUAAAAACAGAAUAAUCAGCUCACUAAUGCAAAAUUUACCCAUACUGGGUUUUUUUCAAUUCUUAUUCUGAAAGGGUUUGUUCAGCCAUUUGAAGGUGUUUUUUUUUUUUCUGAUUUUUGUUUUUGUUUUUGUUUUAAAAAAAAAGUCUGCAAUGUCACUUGCAAUCAAAAGUUAAAAAUUCAUUAUCAAAAUAAAAACUCGAAAAACUUUAAAUGGGUAAAUAAUAUAGUUACAACACAAUGUUUUUCCUAUUCUACUUAUUGAAUCAAAUGGUGUAUAUAAAUCUGUGUCUUUUUCUAUAGAAUAAUAACGCAGUUUUAAAGAGAUACAUUGAUAAAACGAUUCUAUUUCAACAAGACUUAUUGAACAGUUGAAUAAAUAUUUCUUCCAUUGAUGGUAUUACAACCGUGUCACAUUACUGUUUAAUUACUCAUAUGUGAACGUUUUUGAAUGUGAACAAAAAGGUUUAAACAUCGGUAAAUAAAUAUGUUUGUAUUUGUCAUUUACUUUUACCAGUAGUUGGUGACUGUAAUUCCUACCAUAUGUUCCAAACUAACAUUUGUCAAACCGGAUAAUCUUAUAUAAAGAUCAAAUCUUAGCAAUGUCGAUACAUAAACCUUUUCUUACUGAGUCUCAAUGAUUUUUAACAACUCUUAGUGUUUGAAUAUGUAGACAAGUCUUCAUUACAGUCGUGAUUUGCAUAUUUGAUAAGAUUAUUCAUAAAAAUGUUUAUAAAAAAUAUGAUUUUCAGUUUUGCUAAAUAACAAACGAAUUUUAAAAGUCUUUUGUGUUGACUAGAAAUUUAAAUUCUGAAGAAAAUCAACACUCGAUAGUAAAUAACUGCAUCCAAAAAAAAUAAUGUCAUUUAAUUGUAAUAUGUACAAUAGACUGGCCGAAAUAUUGUUAUUCAAGUCGCUAUUUAUUUAUCAAUAAAAGCUUUGUAAUAAAUAUAGAUUAAGGAAUUAAAACUAGCAUUAUUAUGAAUAUUAAUUAAAAGAUUGUUCCUCAAAAUUUUUAUUCCUCAAUAACAUGGUUUAUAGCUGAGAGUUUAUGCAAUUUCCUCAUAUAUUUGUUUUACAUUUUACGAAUUUGUUUGUUUUUUUAACUUAAAUUUGAACAUCUGUACACCACUAUUGCCUUGAUAAAUAAACUGGUUCACUGUGACUUUACUUUCGUUGUUUAAGUAUUGAAUACAAUAUUUUGAUAUCUAGUAUUAAUUUGCAUAUUUAUAGUUGAAAUCCCAUACUAAUUUACCUAAUGCAAUUUUACAAUUUCUCGCCUUCAUUGACUGUUCGAUUCGUAGCUGUAUGAAAUCCAUCCUAAAGUAUAUCCAUAGGAGUGUAUGAUUUCCAAAUCAACAGAAUAAGGACUUUUAAAUUCAAAACUCCUACGCGCACUUCACACACCAAAAACAACUUCACAGCUUUUUCAUUGAUGUUCUUCAUCUUGAAGGUACAUUAAGAACCUAAAUGAAACCAAACGUACUCACCUAACUGACUAUCAGAGCUAAGCAAUAAUAUUUGCUUUGCGGUUAAUUUCGGAAACUGUGAGCAUUUGUUGAAGGUAUUAGUUAGGCAUGUUUUACCAGUACUUCUAUCUUUGUUAAAUAUAAAAAGACAAUAACGCUUUAUAAUUUGGUGCAUCCUGAGCGCAUCCUGGAUUUACAUUUUUAAACGUUGAACCAAAUAAUUCAAUAGCCAAUGCUAUAUGUAUAGCGAAAUAGUUUUAAACUAUAUGACAAAAAAUGGCAUAAAAAAUACACAAAAGGCCAAUUUUGCCUGAGGGCGUGUGAACAAAAGUUUCUUAGCAUACUGUGGUUUAAUAAGGGGAAAAUGAGAAAAGGUAUGUUAUAAAUCACAUCGGUACAAAAGCACUUACUACUAAGCUGAUAAUAUUCUAUAAAAUCGGGAACAUACUAGUCUUUAGUUCUUUUCUGGAUGACUUAAAUUUAACAUUCUACUAUAUCCCUUUGUUUAUUAUUAUUAUUGAGAUUAAGGUAUACAAUGUAGAAUGUUUGGAUAAAAAUGUAGUUUAGUCCUGCUAUGCGCAUAUGUGUUUCCGAAGUGAUGACAUAUUUAAGUUUUUGUCUAAAUUUGUAUCUAGAUAAAAAAAAAGAAGAAAAGAGCCUUUUAUGCGGAAAAGGCAUUUGUCUAAACUAACAAAAUUCUUACUAUGUUCUUUUUUUGUGUUUCUGGGUUGCUCUCUCAUUGACCUACUAUCAACACCUCUCUGUAUUCAUAUCCUUAUUUUUAAGUCUUUUAUUGGGUUCAGCUGUUUUUAUUUUCGAUGAUGACACACCAUUUUUAUUCAGUCAAUGUACCUAUGUCUUUGUGCUUCUUCUGCUCUGCUGAAAAGAUAAAAGUAUUAAAAAUUCUGAAAUGGGGGAAAAAUUAUACUUAAAAGUCAUGUUCAAUUACUUAUUCAAAUGCAUUGUAUGUUAACUGUAAAAACAACAUUAUUACUUUAAACAUUAUAAAUUUUAAGUUUUAUUUCUAAAAUCAUCUUGCGAAUAUUAUCAUCUUAAAACCAACUUUUGUUUGUGUUUUGUUCUUAAUUGCAGUAUGCACCUUUUUUUUUACUUCUUCCUAAUUUACAUUUCAAUCAUGUGAAAAUUCUUAGGUACGAGUUAAAGUUAAGAAUUAUAUAAAAUUUGGAUAAUUAGAGCAAUUAUUCCAUUGCUAUAUUAUGGUUAAAGUGGUUUUGUGUGCAAUCAGAUUUACCUAUUGGCAGUCACAACAGAAUUAAAUUUCCUUUCAAGGUCUUUAUCUUUCGUACAGACAGACGUUUGGAAUAUGAGUUUUAUGAACGACAUUUUCUUCUUGCAAAACGAAAACCGAACUAUAACAUAAAUCAUAAAUUAGAUAACAUCUUGAACUUUAUAUUAAUCAUGUUUUAAAAAUUGUAUUUGACAAAACGAUUCAACAUUUUCUGCAUGUGGUCAACAAUAAUGCUUUUUUUAAAUUUCAUAAUACUAUGUACUAUGUUAACAACAUAUUUCGACACUACAUCAAUUUAGUGUACACGAUCAAUGUCUUAAUGUAUUAUAACAGACAACAUAAUACCAAAUAAUAAUGAAUUAAAAAAAAUCAAAACAAAAUGAUGAAUGUUCUUAAUCAAUAACUUUAUCCCUUGGGUUUUAUGCGAUCUUGCUAACAGGGCUAAUCACUUGUCCUAAACAAAGAUUUUUUUCCCUUUAUGGUGAAAUCUCGGCAUCAUAGAUCUUUUUUGAUUAAGCAAUUAUCCAAUUUCCCUCUUUGCUCCCAUUUAGUAACAUAAUUCUAUUAUUAUGAAACAUAUGUAUGGCAUUUUUUUUAUCUCCUUAUUCAACUGUUUAUUAAACUAAAGUCAAAGAAAAAAUUUGAAAUUUAACAUUGAUUUUAAAAGUACCUUCCAACUGUUUUGUUUCAGAAAACACUAUUCAUAGAUAAUAGUUCAUCCUCAUAUAAACGGUUUUUCAAAUUAAAGAUUAUUUUAAUUUAGUGGACUUUUCUGUGACGGAUCUGAAUAAGGGAUUUUGGCAAAUACUUUCCUUAAAAUUUGAAAGGGUUUUUAUUGCCUUUCUUUCAUAAAUAUAGUAUUUGUAAAAGUAAAUUUAUAGCUUCGCAUUUUCAAUUGUUUCCUACAUCCCUCUGUCAUUUCAUUAAACAUCUUAAAAUCACAAAACAGCAAACAUUUGUGUAUGUUGAGCUCUUUGAUUCAUUUAAAAUAUUCAAUCAUAACCAUCCAUAGAAACAAGAAUACCUUAUAACUUUAACAUGCUUGUCGAAAACGAUUGUGGCUUCCCUUAUACUCAAGUGACAUGCACCUUUAAUUAAAUAGCAUUUACUUAUAAGGUAACACGAAAACGUUAAUUUUAUGGAAUUACUAGCAAAAUAAAACAAAAUCCUAAAUUCCAAUUUUUGCAAUAAAUUCUUUAAGAAUUAGGUGAAAUCAAAAUUACCAAACGUUGUUAAAUAUUAAUUUUUCGAUUAACCACUAGACAAUUUUGGUUAGAAAUUCCCAAAUCUUGAACUUAGUUGAACUCAAUUGACGAUCGGCUGUCAUACUUUACUUUUGAAAAGUGGUUUUCAAUCUUCUAUAUCUAUUAUUAGUAUUUCUUUAUUUAUCAUUAGUAUUUCUGAUUAAAUUUUUUAUAAUAUAUAAUAUAAAGACAACUAUUUAAUGUUAUUUAUCUUUUAUUAACGUUUUCAAAUAAUGUGCUCUUAUUAUUUCAGCACUUAGUGGUCAAAUGACAAUAAAGAUAUUGCUUUAUCAAAAUUUGUAGUAAUAAAAAUCGACAGUUUCAUUUUGAAACACGAACUUGUGUUCUUCCUAACACUGAUUCAUUGGCCAUCUUUUUUUUCCUCUUUGGUCUUUUCUUUUUUGUUUCAGUUCUUUAGUGUUUGUUUUAAGUUUAAAUUCAAAGAAAGUAUUGUGUCCUUUCGCGCAAGAGGUAAUGAAGCGAAAACGUCCUGCGUCCAUCAAGAAAUCCAUCUGAUUCGUCCAAAUCGGUACUAUUAAAAUUUAUUUUGGAGAUAAUAUAUUCAUUUGAUUUUUUAAAAGUCUUAUUAAAUUUGGCACUGUAGUCUGGUUAAGUCAGUUAUUACUCUUAGACAUUGCUUGAAUCAGGUCAUUAUUAUGGUAGUCAAUUCAUAUUCAUAUUUCAUACAUCAGAUGUUAGAAUCCACUGUUCUUAAAAACUGAAAUUCAGAAACUCUCUCUGACAAAGUAGACCUUGGAUGACUACCAUUUUUCUGUCCCUUUUGUUAUAUAGCUCCAAAAGUUUUAACAUAUUUAUACAGUCGUGGUUUGCAAAUGUUUAGGCUUCAAUUUUCUAAUGAAGCUAAGUUCAGAAAAUCGCACGAAAGAUAUCAAGUUUUAUUUUCCUUAAAUCGAAUAUAAUUAAAGAAUUAUAAAAAUUAACAAUACGUUUUAUGAAUUCAUUUUUCAUAACUAUUAUUUACUGAAGCUAUUUAUCCUUUUGUGGACAUGAAGUUUCAAUUACAAAAUAUUGUGACGGAUAUAUCACACAAUAGAACAAUACUCAUUAGAGAUACUUGAUUUAUUAAUUUGGUACGCCAAAUUCGUCUACAUAAGACCCAGCAAUGACACCUGACUCAAAACUGUUUGGAGGCUACAUCAAUUGCAAAGUUGAAGAUCAUGGAAACCAAAUAAACCACAAGGUUUUGCCAAAUCUGCCUAUGUCUGUGAGUAGAACAUACAGGAACUAGAGUUUUCAUAAAGGAUUUCUUCGCAUAAAAAAACAUUAAAAAGGCAGUUUAUGUGAAGUUUAGAGGAUAUAGAAUAGUAAUAUCAUGUUAUAUAAGAGACAGCCAAUCCAAGGAAAACAUUCAUGGCUGAAACAAAUAUCAAAUAUGAUGUUCGUAGCUGUAAAGAACAGUAAAAUGGCAUCUUCUUACUCACUACUUUAUUAUAAUUUUUAAGGGACCGUCCAUGCAAAAGGAAGAAUGCUUACUAUUGUUUUGAUAUAUUGUUACUAUUUGUUUUAAAUAUCAAUCAACACACCAAACGUUAAUAAAAUAAAGUUAAAAUAAAAAAGGUAUAACUACCAAAUCAAAUGGAAUAACAAUUAAAUCAACAACGUUUCAACAACAUUGAACAACACCAUAUACAUACGUAAAAUAACCUUGCCAUUACUGUCGACUCUUUACAGUAAUACAAAGUAAUGAAUUCAAUACCACAGCGCACUGAAAGUUCGACAAGGAAAAGUUAAACAUAAAAUAUACCUUUAUAAAAAGUAGUCUUUCGUUAAAAAGGAUUGACAAAUAUUUAAGAACAAUAGUUGUUCCUAAAUGAUACAAAUCGACGAGUCCGAAACAACAACAACAGAAAACAAGUUUCAAGGAGACAUGAUCUGAUAAUUGUAUCCUCCUACACAAUCAAUCCUUUGCAAUUUGAUAAGGUUCUAUAAAUAUAUGCAUACAACAUAUGACGUUAAUCUAUCAAGAGAUGGAGAAACAGUUUGGGCGUCACUUCUUAUCUUUUCAAUUUCUUUAUAUUUUUGUUAUAACAUUAUGGAAAAAUCUAUAAAAAUCGCGCAAAAUAAGAUCCAAAAGAAGAGCUUAACCAACAUUACAGAUACUUAUGAUGACCAAGCGAAUGAAGACAUGUUAGCAGUUUCUUAUUUUCAAAGACAUUUUUUACCAACUCUUGGUAAAAGUCAGAUAAAGAGUGUUGCAUAGUCGUAACACGAAAUGCUAUUACAUUCAAAUUUACCAUUUAUAUACAUGUACGAAAUCGAUACACGUCAUGGGGACCUCAAGAUGUUGAUUGUUUGUGUUUGUUUGUUUGAUUUGUUUUUUAAGAUAUGAGUUGCUUUUCCAUUGGGGUAUAUCAUUUUAUUCAUAUAUACAAAUUACACUGCAAACGAUUAAAAAAGAUUACCUUGCUGUUUUCUGUAAUACUUACAGUUUUGGUUAACUGACGGAUACAAAAUUAAUGCGUACUUAACUUGGUUUUAUAUACAAAUACAUAUUAUAAACAAAUGAUGACAAAUAUAAACAGUAUACAUAUAAAUGUUUACACACAAACGAAUAGAACAAGAAAAAAAUAAAACAAACAAAAUAAAUACAAAGUUGAAAAGAUUGAAGAUUAACAAUAUCAAUUUAUGCUGAUGGAGGAAUAAUGAUAGUAUUUUAGAGACUUUAUUUUAUUUAUGAAUAUUUUAAGCAAGCACGGGAUCGGCAGAUUUACUGCGACAGAAAACAAUUUGAAGCUAUCUAAAUGACUUAUUAACUAUCAAUGUCAACGUUAUAGUACUUCCGGUUGUCAUUUUCAGCCGAUCACGCUUGUUAGUUAUCCCUAAAUUAAUGUCGUCGCUAUGGUGAAUCAAGAUCGACCAAGAAAGAAUGCAGGAGGCAAACCCCUGUCUCGGGUAAUUUGGUGAGAAUCCUUCUGAACAAAGGUUGAUCAGCAGUCCCGCGGAGUCAUUAAAUUGUUUUUGAAAUUUUUGCGACCUGUCAAAGUUCAAAUAUUAUAAAUCUUUAUUGGUAAAUAAUGACAUCGGAUUAUUCUCUGUUCAGAAUUUCAAAUUAAACGUUGAAUAUAUAAUUGAUUUAUUAUUUUGUAAAACACUAAUAAAAUAUCGGUCUGUAUUCUUUUUUCAAAUGUCACAUUUAUCACUAUAUAUUUUACUUUAUUUGCUCUAAAAGUAUCAUCAAGAUAUAGGGGAGGGCAAUUAGAUUUGCAUUAAAACUGUAAGAUUAAAAACAUCAGCAAUAAAAGUAUGGAUACAAAGCUAAUAUACUAGUUAUACAUAAUGUGAAUUCUCUCUAUUGUUUUUCUAUAUGCAAAAUUUUUUGAUAAUGAAACCAGUUCAAAAUAAGUAGAGUUUAAAACUGAGGCUGAUAACAUUAAUAUGAGUUAAUAUGGGCAUAUUAUCUCUAAUCAAUUAGCAUAAAUUAUGGAACAAAAAAGAGAACUAGUAACUGUUUUGACAUAUAUAGUUUACAGUAUACAUGUACAUUGCGUUUUGCAAUACAGUCUAUGAUACAAUGCUCUUCAACUUUGUACCUGUUUCGCUUUAUAAAUAUUUUGAUGUGAGCGUCACUGAUGAGUCUUAUGUAGACGAAACGUGCGUCUGACGUACUAAAUUAUAAUCCUGGUAUCUUUGAUAACUAUUAUUGUCAGUGUACACGAGUUUGUGAUAAGUUUUGUAGUGUAUCGGAAAUUUCGACUAUAGCAUGGCCUAAAAACUAUAUUAUUCGUAUAUGCGGUUUAUGUCUCAUACGGCCAGGUUUAACAUGACAUUUCCUUGUGAUGUAAAGAAAAGGGCCAUCAUUUUUCAACAUUUUACAUGGCCAACACUAUAUAUUCUAGGUUUUGUUUCGGAAGGUUUUUUUUAUGAUUUUAGACUUCCAACUUCAAUACGAUCUUUGGGUUAAGUACAUUUUAAAAUGUUAAGACAUUUUAAAUGUGUUUCUUGACUUUGUAUUACUCCGUCCUUUUUUCUGAUGUCCUUUUAUAAUGAGCUUUUUUUUUUUAAAUCUUCUUGUAGGUUUUUUGUUUAAUGUAAGUACCAUUUUUCUAUUUUGUUUCAAUAACAAACGUUUUGUUAAGUAACUUGUGUAAAGGAAGUCUCUUUACUAUUUUUUUUAAACCACUUUCACAUAAAUAGAAGGUAACACACUUUAGUUCUAAAAAGGCAUAUUUAGAACUGUAUAUUUCAUUAGAGACUGUAUUUUUUUUUUUUUUUUUUUUAUUUACUAGCAUAUAUAAUUUGUAAUUUUUCGGUUUCCAAACAUGCAUCUUCUUUAACUCCUAUUCAAAAAUUAUAAAUAAAGAUAUCAAAUUUAUUUCUAAUAUAUCUACUCAUUAUAUAUCAUUUGAAUAAGAUAUUCAGGGAGGUAGCACUAUUUAAGAUUGUUAACAUUUUGUCAAUAUUGAGAUUUGUAAAAGUAGUGUUGUCAUCCAAGACAUACAGAUGUAUGAUUUAUUACUAAUAAAUUGGAAAAAAAAACAUUAAAAAAAUGCAUUUCAUAAGUUCGAGUAUUACAUGUCAAAUAUUUAUAGGCAGAUAUGAUGACGUGGAAAAUUGACAGCAAUUAUAUAUUUUUUACUGUUUUCUGUUAAAAUUGUAAUUAUUGAUUUUAAUAAAUGAUGCAAUACGAAAAGAUAAGACAAAUACAUGUCAUAAAACAAGCAAAUGUCUAUAAUUUCAAUAGUUCAAUUCAAUAUCACAUCUACGAAGAAAUAAUACAAUUCUGAAACUAAUUGUUUUUCCAUUAAAAAAACAAAAUUUUAUCUCCACUUUGUUGAAGUCUGCUUAACUGAUUACGGACAAAAUGAGCCGAACACCUGAAUGCUUCUUUAUGGUGUCAAGGAUUUGAGAAUAAAUCCUUUUUGAAUUUUGUCAACCAUAAAAUUUAUGUUGAAAUGAUAAAAAGAACUGUCGUUGAAGUUUUGACAGAUAUCCAAUAGUAAGAUAAUUAUAGCUGGUGUUCAAUAAAACGAUUAAGCUUUCAAAACAUACACAUUGUUGAACAUCAUAUAAAUAUUUCAUGUUAUGCAAUAUUAUUCUUUAUAUUACGAGAAAUUAAUUUGCUCAUUGAUUGUUGUAUGUUAGAAUAUGAUGGUACAAUAGAAAGACAAGCUUACGAACAAUUAUUCUAUAUUCUAUAUUCAAUUUCAUAUAUUUUAUAUUUCAGACACAAAACUGAAAAUUUUAUAUCGCAAACAAUCUUUUAAGAUAUGCUUUUCUGUUUGCCUCAGAUGUGACAAUAAUAUAUUGUUGUAAAACUUUAUGUCAAAGAUACUUAUAAUGCUCCUUCGAAUAAACUGUUGUUCUGCCAGUAACUUGUACACCAGAAGCAUUGAGAUAAUAAUAACAUAGAACAGGC